rnacentral:rRNA from 1 species
AUUGAACGCUGGCGGCAUGCCUUACACAUGCAAGUCGAACGGCAGCACGGGAGCAAUCCUGGUGGCGAGUGGCGAACGGGUGAGUAAUAUAUCGGAACGUGCCCGGUCGUGGGGGAUAACGUAGCGAAAGCUACGCUAAUACCGCAUACGAUCUACGGAUGAAAGCGGGGGAUCGCAAGACCUCGCGCGAUUGGAGCGGCCGAUAUCAGAUUAGGUAGUUGGUGAGGUAAAGGCUCACCAAGCCGACGAUCUGUAGCUGGUCUGAGAGGACGACCAGCCACACUGGGACUGAGACACGGCCCAGACUCCUACGGGAGCAGCAGUGGGGUAAUUUUGGACAACUGGGCGCAAGCCUGAUCCAGCAAUGCCGCGUG